rnacentral:lncRNA from 1 species
ACCACGGGAAAGGGGAUCUUCAGGAGCGGGUGUCUCAUGGCUGGGAAGAGGACGGCACAGGAGGGCUGGGGAACCCGAAUUGCAGCCUGAAUGGCCAGUGUCCUUUCUCCAGAAUGCAGUUCUCCCUUGCUCAGAAGAAAUGAGUCUGCCAGUGGGUACAACAUGAGAUGAUACUUCCACCCCCAUUGGUGACAGCCCUCACCUAGCUAUCAAGACAGUGUUCGACUUCCUUCACUCCUUCCAGGGGCCAGCAUGUGGCUGGCCACUGUCCACCCUCAGGGGUUGUGAACUGAAUUAAAGGGUUGCGUCCUUCAUCCAUUUUCUUUGCUGAACUGUCUUGAAUUUUACCCUAAGUUCAAAAUGAAGCAGACCAUAGCUGAGUUUAAAGGAGAUCCGAUUGACAUUGGGAAGUGGCACCCAAUAAGAUGGCUGUUUCUUCCGCCUGCUCCAGGGCUCGCCAACAGGAGAACUGAAAGCUGAAGCAUCUCAACCUGCAGAUACAUCUCAAAGGCCCCUUCAGCCGAUGUCCUCAGUGCCCUUGACACAGCCCCUUGGCACUUGCCUUCCACACACAUGCUGCUGCACCAGUUUCCUCCUGGUAGCAUCUUCCUUUCCGCCUGAGGAUUUCCCAGGCAUCCUGCCUCCAAGAAAGUCAGAAGUCAGUGCCUUCCUGAGAGCCGGUGAGAGCUCCGUCUCCCUUGGGCAAGUGGUGCUGAUGCCUGUUCCCUGCAUCCAUCUCUCAGAAGCCACAGCAGAACUGAGCUCCAGGGGCCACUGCGAGAAGCAUUUAUGGAGCUCGUGGAGUGAGGCAUCUCUUUAAUCCCUUCAGUAAGUCAGUGUGGGCCAAGGAGUCUGAGGAUCAGAGACCUUGUGACUUUUUAAGUGAAGAUUUACUAUGUGCUGGGGCCCAUUGUGUUUUAUUUUAUUGACUCGUCCCAAGCUCUAAGAGGGAGAGACCUUGAUUGUCCCAAUUUCACUGACACAGUUUGGGAAGGUUAAAACAUGAUGAAAGGAAAUAGACUGGAAUGAUACAGUAAUAUGGAAUUGAGCAUUUUCACCAACAUUUUUACAUGUUUUAAAAUGUCAUUUUCUGGCCAGGGGUGGUGGCUCACGCCUGUAACCCCAGCACUUU